rnacentral:rRNA from 1 species
UUAAGUGACUAAGCGUACACGGUGGAUGCCUUGGCAGUCAGAGGCGAUGAAAGACGUAGUAACUUGCGAUAAGCCCAGAUUAGGUAGUAACAACCAUUUGAGUCUGGGAUUUCUGAAUGGGGAAACCCACGUGCAUAAGCACGUAUCCUUACCUGAAUACAUAGGGUAAGGAGGCGAACCGGGGGAACUGAAACAUCUAAGUACCCCGAGGAAAAGAAAUCAACCGAGAUUCCGAAAGUAGCGGCGAGCGAAAUUGGACUAGCCCUUAAGCUUUACACACGUUAGACGAACGGUCUGGAAAGUCCGACGAUACAGGGUGAUAGUCCCGUAGUUGACGACGUGUGUUCAGUGAAAUCGAGUAGGGCGGGACACGUGAUAUCCUGUCUGAAUAUGGGGGGACCAUCCUCCAAGGCUAAAUACUACUGACUGACCGAUAGUGAACCAGUACCGUGAGGGAAAGGCGAAAAGAACCCCUGUGAGGGGAGUGAAAUAGAACCUGAAACCGUGUACGUACAAGCAGUAGGAGCAGGCUUUGUCCUGUGACUGCGUACCUUUUGUAUAAUGGGUCAGCGACUUAUAUUCAGUGGCAAGGUUAACCAUCUAGGGGAGCCGUAGGGAAACCGAGUCUUAACUGGGCGUUCAGUCUCUGGAUAUAGACCCGAAACCAGGUGAUCUAGCCAUGGGCAGGUUGAAGGUUGAGUAACAUCAACUGGAGGACCGAACCGACUAAUGUUGAAAAAUUAGCGGAUGACUUGUGGCUAGGGGUGAAAGGCCAAUCAAACCUGGAGAUAGCUGGUUCUCCCCGAAAGCUAUUUAGGUAGCGCCUCGGACGAAUACUACUGGGGGUAGAGCACUGUUAAGGCUAGGGGGUCAUCCCGACUUACCAACCCUUUGCAAACUCCGAAUACCAGUAAGUACUAUCCGGGAGACACACGGCGGGUGCUAACGUCCGUCGUGGAGAGGGAAACAACCCAGACCGCCAGCUAAGGUCCCAAAUUACUACUAAGUGGGAAACGAUGUGGGAAGGCUCAGACAGCCAGGAUGUUGGCUUAGAAGCAGCCAUCAUUUAAAGAAAGCGUAAUAGCUCACUGGUCGAGUCGGCCUGCGCGGAAGAUGUAACGGGGCUAAGUAGUAAACCGAAGCUGCGGCAAUAUACUUUUGUAUAUUGGGUAGGGGAGCGUUCUGUAAGCGGUUGAAGGUGUGUGGUAACGCAUGCUGGACGUAUCAGAAGUGCGAAUGCUGACAUGAGUAACGAUAAAGGGGGUGAAAAACCUCCUCGCCGGAAGACCAAGGGUUCCUGUCCAACGUUAAUCGGGGCAGGGUAAGUCGACCCCUAAGGCGAGGCCGAAAGGCGUAGUCGAUGGGAAACGGGUUAAUAUUCCCGUACUUCUUACAAUUGCGAUGGGGGGACGGAGAAGGCUAGGUGGGCCUGGCGACGGUUGUCCAGGUUCAAGUGCGUAGGCUUGAGAGUUAGGUAAAUCCGGCUCUCUUUAAGGCUGAGACACGACGUCGAGCAUCUACGGAUGUGAAGUCAUUGAUGCCAUGCUUCCAGGAAAAGCCUCUAAGCUUCAGAUUGUAAGGAAUCGUACCCCAAACCGACACAGGUGGUCGGGUAGAGAAUACCAAGGCGCUUGAGAGAACUCGGGUGAAGGAACUAGGCAAAAUGGUACCGUAACUUCGGGAGAAGGUACGCUCUUGAUGGUGAAGUCCCUCGCGGAUGGAGCUGACGAGAGUCGCAGAUACCAGGUGGCUGCAACUGUUUAUUAAAAACACAGCACUGUGCAAAAUCGUAAGAUGACGUAUACGGUGUGACGCCUGCCCGGUGCCGGAAGGUUAAUUGAUGGGGUUAGACUUCGGUCGAAGCUCUUGAUCGAAGCCCCGGUAAACGGCGGCCGUAACUAUAACGGUCCUAAGGUAGCGAAAUUCCUUGUCGGGUAAGUUCCGACCUGCACGAAUGGCGUAAUGAUGGCCACGCUGUCUCCACCCGAGACUCAGUGAAAUUGAAAUCGCUGUGAAGAUGCAGUGUACCCGCGGCUAGACGGAAAGACCCCGUGAACCUUUACUACAGCUUGGCACUGAACAUUGACCCUACAUGUGUAGGAUAGGUGGGAGGCUUUGAAGCACGUACGCCAGUAUGUGUGGAGCCGUCCUUGAAAUACCACCCUUGUAGUGUUGAUGUUCUAACGUCGACCCCUAAUCGGGGUUGCGGACAGUGCCUGGUGGGUAGUUUGACUGGGGCGGUCUCCUCCCAAAGAGUAACGGAGGAGCACGAAGGUGGGCUAAUCACGGUUGGACAUCGUGAGGUUAGUGCAAUGGCAUAAGCCCGCUUGACUGCGAGAAUGACAAUUCGAGCAGGUGCGAAAGCAGGUCAUAGUGAUCCGGUGGUUCUGAAUGGAAGGGCCAUCGCUCAACGGAUAAAAGGUACUCCGGGGAUAACAGGCUGAUACCGCCCAAGAGUUCAUAUCGACGGCGGUGUUUGGCACCUCGAUGUCGGCUCAUCACAUCCUGGGGCUGAAGUCGGUCCCAAGGGUAUGGCUGUUCGCCAUUUAAAGUGGUACGCGAGCUGGGUUUAGAACGUCGUGAGACAGUUCGGUCCCUAUCUGCCGUGGGCGUUGGAAGAUUGAAGGGGGCUGCUCCUAGUACGAGAGGACCGGAGUGGACGAACCUCUGGUGUUCGGGUUGUGUCGCCAGACGCAUUGCCCGGUAGCUAAGUUCGGAAUCGAUAACCGCUGAAAGCAUCUAAGCGGGAAGCGAGCCCUGAGAUGAGUCUUCCCUGAUACUUUAAGUAUCCUAAAGGGUUGUCGGAGACUACGACGUUGAUAGGUCAGGUGUGUAAGUGCUGUGAGGCAUUGAGCUAACUGAUACUAAUUGCCCGUGAGGCUUAACCAU